rnacentral:SRP_RNA from 1 species
GCUGGGCAUGGUGGUGCAUGCCUGUAAUCCCAGCUACUCAGGAGGCUGAGGCAGGAGAAUUGCCUGAACCCAGGAGGCGGAGGUUGCAGUGAGCUGAGAUCGUGCCAUUGUACUCCAGCCUGGGUAACAAGAACGAAACUCCAUCUCAAAAAAAAAAAAAAGAAGAAAACUCUGUUUCUUUUUUUUGUUUUUUUUUUUUUGAGAUGGUUGUUGCUCAGGCUGGAGUACAAAGGCACAAUCUCGGCUCACUGCAACCUCUACCUCCUGGGUUCAAGAGAUUCUCCUGCCUCAG